CCUACGGGGGGCAGCAGUGAGGAAUAUUGGUCAAUGGACGAGAGUCUGAACCAGUCAAGUAGCGUGAAGGAUGACUGCCCUAUGGGUUGUAAACUUCUUUUAUAUGGGAAUAAAACGUUCCACGUGUGGGAUUUUGUAUGUACCAUAUGAAUAAUGAUCGGCUAACUCCGUGCCAGCAGCCGCGGUAAUACGGAGGAUCCGAGCGUUAUCCGGAUUUAUUGGGUUUAAAGGGAGCGUAGAUGGGUUGUUAAGUCAGUUGUGAAAGUUUGCGGCUCAACCGUAAAAUUGCAGUUGAAACUGGCAGUCUUGAGUACAGUAGAGGUGGGCGGAAUUCGUGGUGUAGCGGUGAAAUGCUUAGAUAUCACGAAGAACUCCGAUUGCGAAGGCAGUUCACUGGACUGCAACUGACACUGAGGCUCGAAAGUGUGGGUAUCAAACAGGAUUAGAUACCCUAGUAGUC
rnacentral:rRNA from 1 species